AUAAAAUAAUUAUAAAUAAAAAUUUUAAUAAAUUUAAGAAAUUUUAUUUAUCAAUAUAUAGAGUACAGUAAUGGAAAUAAAUAAUAACUUUAAAGUAAUAUUUU
rnacentral:rRNA from 1 species